UUGAACCCAGGAGGCAGAGGUUCCAGUGAGCUGAGAUCGCACCAGUGCACUCCAGACUGGGUGACAGAAUGACUGCGUCUCAAAAAAAAAAAAAGAAAGGGUUUUAUCAUUUCUUCAUUUACAGUUUCACAACUAAACUAUAUAUUAAGUCUACCUGUUAAAAUUUUUUAUUGUAUUUCCUUAACAGACAUUAAAAUGCAAAAAUCUUAAAAAUAAAAAUUAAAGUCAGUAUUCAUACUACAGUUUCAUAACAGAACUCCCCCCCCCCAUAAUAUUUAGGUAUUCAAUUUAGAAAUGGUUAACUGAAGGCAACCAAAAUUUUAAUACUGCUGGAUAUUGGGUAAAAAGACUGCAAAAAUGAAAGUGAUAUAUACUUACACUUGGUCCUUGGGUUUCCUGCAGCCAUUUAAGAAUGUGGGUCAAAGAGAAAGUUUUAAAAUAAUUAAAUAAUUUUGUUUGUCUGAGAGUACAUUAAAUAGUUAAAUUUUACACAAUUUAAUACUGAAAUAACUCCAUUCUAAUUAUCUUAAGUAGGCUGUUUAGAAGUUCUUAAGUUUUCAACUUAAUUAUUUUCCUUUUUUUUAAAAAAAAAAAAAAAACCAGCUUUACUGAUAUAAUCAUAUAUCACAUAGGCCGGGCGCGGUGGCCAAUGCACAGUUUUUGCUUUGGAUUUUGUUUUUAGUUUUUUUUUGCAUACCUGUGCCACACCAUAGAGUUUUAUAUCCUAUUUCCUUUUCUUUCUUUUUUUUUUUUGACACAGUUUCACUCUUUUUGCCCAGGCUGGAAUGCCAUGGUGUGAUCUUGGCUCACUGCAACCUGUCUCCUGGGUUCAAGUGAUUCUCCUGCCUCAGCCUCCUGAGUAGUUGGGAUUAUAGGCAUAUGCCAGCAUGCCAGGCUAAUUUUAUAUUUUUAGCAGAGACAGGGUUUCACCAUGUUGGCCAGGCUGGUCUCGAACUCCUGACCUCAGAUCAUCUGCCCACCUCGGCCUCCCAAAGUCCUGGGAUUACAGGCGUGAGCCACUGCACCUGGCCUAUAUCCUACAUUCACAUCAGAAAUACUGGUCAUACAUUAUUGUAAACUUUUUAAUAAUAACAGUUAAAACUUACUGAAUGCUUAUUAUUUAUCAGGCACUGUUCUAGACAGUAUUAAUCAUUUAAUAAUCUCAAUAACCUAAGAGAUUAUUCCCAUUUAUCAAUGAGAAAAUUGAGGUACUAAAGGUUAUGUAACAUGUCCAAGGUCACAAAAGUGGUAAGUGGUAGAGAAAUAAAUAUAACACAGGUAGAGAAAUAAAUGGAAUACAACCAAUUGCAUAAAAUUCCAAUAUUAUGAAUCACAGUUUACAUAACUAUUUCUAUUUUAGACAUUUAGCUAUUUCUAAUGCUUUACUGACAUGUUUACUAAAGCUAUACAAACAUGUUUUUGUUAUUUAAUUUUUUCUUAGUUUUUAUCCUUAGAAUAAAUUUCCCAGAAUCAAAAUCAUUUUGUCAAGGGAUAUGAUGUUUCAAAGCUCCUGAUACAUAUGGUAAAAUAUGUUUUCUCAAACGGUUGAACUAAUUUUCAGUCAUUAGUAACAAGAGUGCCCAUUUCAAAGCAGCCUCACCAGUACUGUUUUUUUUAAAAUAUUUGAUCAUUGUUGUUUUAACUCUACAUUUAUUACCAGCAACGUUGAACAUUUCUUUAUAUCUGUGCACCAGUUUCAUUUCUUCUUCUGUGAAUAGUCUGACGUCAUCUUGAAAAUUAAGUUAAGAACUGUCUAAACCUCAACUGAUACUGUAAAUGCAUUUAAAACAUGAUUGUUUCCUUAAUAGCAAACAUUUGACUUACUAAUAUUAAAAUCUAGCAUAAGUCUCCCAAGAAAUGGAAGUACAAUUUCUUUACUGCACAAUAGAAGUACAAUCCUUAUGUUAAUUUUUAAAAAGCAUGAAAUAGUCUUUCACUCCUUUUGAUUCUUGCUCCUUAAGUAUUUUCUGAACUGAUGACUAAAUUUAACUGGUUUAGAAAACUUGGUUACUAUCAUUCCUUUUGAUGACUAAAUAUAUCAAUAAAUAAACAAGGCAAAAGAUUUCUUAGAUAUCACAAAAGGAUAUAAUAAGGGUUUUCUAACAAUAAAGAAGCCAUUCGGGCUUCUUUAAUCAUAGGACGGGC
rnacentral:lncRNA from 10 species